rnacentral:tRNA from 1 species
CAAUGGCUCAAUUGGUAGAGCAUCGGUCUCCAAAACCGAGGGCUGGGGGUUCGAGUCCCUCUUGA